GCCAGUGUGGUGCAGUGUUUCGAGCACUGGACUUUGACUCUGGAGACCAGGGUUCGAGUCCUGACUCAGCCA